UCCAGACUCCUACGGGAGGCAGCAGUGGGGGAUAUUGCACAAUGGGGGGAACCCUGAUGCAGCGACGCCGCGUGGGUGAAGGAGCGUUUCGGCGCGUAAAGCCCUCUCGGCAGGGAAGAAGGAGGACGGUACCUGACUAAGAAGCCCCGGCUAACUACGUGCCAGCAGCCGCGGUAAUACGUAGGGGGCAAGCGUUAUCCGGAUUUACUGGGUGUAAAGGGGGCGCAGACGGCAGCGCAAGCCAGGAGUGAAAGCCCGGGGCCCAACCCCGGGACUGCUCUUGGAACUGCGCGGCUGGAGUGCAGGAGGGGCAGGCGGAAUUCCUGGUGUAGCGGUGAAAUGCGUAGAUAUCAGGAGGAACACCGGUGGCGAAGGCGGCCUGCUGGACUGCGACUGACGUUGAGGCCCGAAAGCGUGGGGAGCAAACAGGAUUAGAUACCCCAGUAGG
rnacentral:rRNA from 1 species